rnacentral:rRNA from 1 species
GACGAACGCUGGCGGCGUGCUUAACACAUGCAAGUCGAACGGAAAGGCCCUGCUUUUGUGGGGUGCUCGAGUGGCGUACGGGUGAGUAACACGUGAGUAACCUGCCCUUGACUUUGGGAUAACUUCAGGAAACUGGGGCUAAUACCGGAUAGGAGCUCCUGCUGCAUGGUGGGGGUUGGAAAGUUUCGGCGGUUGGGGAUGGACUCGCGGCUUAUCAGCUUGUUGGUGGGGUAGUGGCUUACCAAGGCUUUGACGGGUAGCCGGCCUGAGAGGGUGACCGGCCACAUUGGGACUGAGAUACGGCCCAGACACCUACGGGAGGCAGCAGUGGGGAAUAUUGCACAAUGGGCGGAAGCCUGAUGCAGCAACGCCGCGUGCGGGAUGACGGCCUUCGGGUUGUAAACCGCUUUCGCCUGUGACGAAGCGUGAGUGACGGUAAUGGGUAAAGAAGCACCGGCUAACUACGUG